GAUGAACGCUAGCGAUAGGCUUAACACAUGCAAGUCGAGGGGCAGCAUGGUCUUAGCUUGCUAAGACUGAUGGCGACCGGCGCACGGGUGCGUAACGCGUAUGCAACUUGCCUCACAGAGGGGGAUAACCCGUCGAAAGACGGACUAAUACCGCGUACACUCCAUCUUGGGCAUCCAAGGUAGAGGAAAUGAAAUUCGCUGUGAGAUAGGCAUGCGUCCCAUUAGCUAGUUGGUGAGGUAACGGCUCACCAAGGCGACGAUGGGUAGGGGAACUGAGAGGUUGAACCCCCACACUGGUACUGAGACACGGACCAGACUCCUACGAGAGGCAGCAGUGAGGAAUAUUGGUCAAUGGGCGAGAGCCUGAACCAGCCAAGUCGCGUGAAGGAUGACUGUCUUAUGGAUUGUAAACUUCUUUUAUACGGGAAUAACAAGAGUCACGUGUGACUCCCUGCAUGUACCGUAUGAAUAAGCAUCGGCUAACUCCGUG
rnacentral:rRNA from 1 species